UCCCAAAUUAAUAAUGAUAACUCAUAAGACAAUAAGACAUAUAACAUAAAUUACUUAUCAUAAUUCAUAAAUCACAAUUCUCAAACACAAAAUACUUGAGUUUCUUGAGGAGCAGAACAUUUGUGGAACUAACUCGACCGAAAUUAUUGACUCCUAGAAAUCGUCGAAUCAUGAAAGUUGAAGGACAGUCAGAAGUUGAUAGCGAGCCUGCAAAGUCGUACCCAAAAAUUCAUACCAUUUUCUCAACAGAUUGCUUUACUUACUAUGAUUGGCAAACUGUGGGGCUUGUCCACAGUUUUCACCUUAGUGGUCCACUUGAAAAUAUCACGAGGCUUCUUAGUUGUACAGAAGAGGACUUGAACUUGAAGCAGUAUAAAGGACUCAAUAUAGCUCCCACCCAUUAUGUUCCAUCAAUGAGCCGUCAUCCCCAAAUCAAUAAAUCAUAACAUAAUUAAUAUUAUUUACUCAAUACUCAACAUCAACAACUACAAGUCAAGUAGGCAGUAGCCAAAACAAAAUAGAACAAAACCAUAACAAAAAAAAAGAGAGGGAGAAUUGAGAGAGAGUCACCAGCUUGAACAAAGAAGGCAGAAAGGAGAAACCUAGAAACGGCAGCGGCAGCCAGCAGUCACGGUCUCACGGACUCACUCACGACAAUCGGCUCGGCACUGUAGUGGUUGUUGGCACUUGGCUAUGGCGAAUCCCUCCUGCUCAUGGCGUCGUCGAUGCUACCUAUUCUUUGAUGGAGUCUGGCUGAAAGGAGAAAGGGAGGAAAAGGGUUUGACAAUUGGCAUUUAGACUUCCACAAUUUGGGAAUUGGACAGAAGGAGAGAAUUUUGGAUUCUUGGCUGCACGAUUGAAAAUGAUUGAUAAAUUGGACCAUUUGUUUAUUUCAUUUGAGAAUUGGGCUAAACAAAAAGAAGCCCAACAAUUACUCACAAUCACUUAACUGAAGCCCAAACAAAAAAAAGGGCUCUUUGCUUUCAUCUUUAUCUUCUUCAGUUCUUCUCCCGACUCCGGGCGGCUCUGCAACUUCAGCAAAGGCCUGAUUGGCAAUUGCUACCAGGUGAUUCUCAAGAUUCCGGCGAAGCCAGCACGUGCGGCCGCGCCCCCUCGCCGGGUGCUGGCUUUGCGCCUGAAUGCCAUGCUU
rnacentral:lncRNA from 1 species